AUAUUUUCAAAUGCAGUCACUUAUUAACAGCAACCUAACACGAACCAGUGUUGCAAAUUGAGUGAGUUGUGAGGACAAUAUUCCUGUAGUCUUUUUUUCUGCCUGUUUGUCAAGGCCUGAGGUAAUGUUACAAUUGUUACUGCCGUUAUCAUUAUGACAACUUAAACGGGGUGAAUAAAGUUUACAUUGACUGAUAUUUAGUGACACAGAAACAAAAUAAGCUUUUUUUAAAUGCUCCGCUGCCUCUUUAAUGUAAAUUAGCUAAGCAGGAGGACUCUGUGGAAACUUUACGUUAACAGCAAACUAUCUUGAAGUACAAAAAGAAAACGUGAGGCAACACUAAAGACGGAGGUUGUAUAACAGUAUUUUGAAGUGAAUAUUUCGUUUUCAUUUAGUUUUUUGCUGUUAGAACCGCGGAACGUCGGAGGUUUGGAGUUGCUUGGAGUUCUUUUCUGGCGGUUACCGUCAUCUGAAGAAACUGGUCACUGCAACUCCAGCAGAUGCAGAGAGAAGCCUCUCUCUGCCCAGUACCCCAAGACUGAUUGCACUUGGUUCAUUCUGAGAAUAAACCCUGAUGACACCAAAUGCCUAAAUCACAAAAUCAAAAUCACAGAUCAGCCGGGCAUCUGGAAAAAGGGUGCAGAGAAAAAUCGCCAGCCUGAAUCCUCUUGUGACAUCUUUCAUCAGAGAGCUUGUUGAAUUCGAUUGGCCAAAUUAUUGAAAGAAAACACGACUAAAACAUGUUUUUACUGUUUGAUUUGUUCUGCUUUUCAGAAUGUUUUUCAGAAAUUUUUAGCCAUGUUACAGAUACACAGAAUGAAUUCAAACACAUUUGUAGAAUGUACUUUUUAAAGUAAAUGUUAAAUAAUGAAAUAGUUAAACAAUGAAACAGCACAUUUUAAUGACAAAUGUUCAUGAGAACUUAUGCAUUUUUGGGGGAUUAAAAAACGUAUAGUUUACAGCUAGUGGUUUUUCAUUCGUUAAACAUCAGUUACACCUGUUGUUAAUUUCAUUAAUUGGUUCGUCUUUUUAUACUCUGUGUUUGGUUUUGUUGCUUUCUGAGUAUUUUGAGUUCUAUAUUAAAUAAAACUUUGACUGCUGCGAUUAGAUCAGUUUCAUCCAACUUUAUUGCAACCUUACCAGUGACAUGUAGAUUCAAAUUUUAUUAAUUUUGUAACAAUAAAGCAAAUGAAGCUAGUCCCAAAUCUACAAAAAAAGUCUGAG
rnacentral:lncRNA from 1 species